AAAAUUACCUACGCGGAUAGAAAAAAAAUCCUACGGCGUUCUACACAUGUGAUUGGAAUCCCCCCGCCUAUUUAUGGCUCUGACAGCCAGACAUUCUAGUUGAAUCUACCGUUGCUACCGGAUUCACAGACGGCUGCUUUGAUUUCGUUCGUGAUUCUUCAACCUGGUCGGAUUCUUCACAACGACCUUUCAAUUCAGCUAUCAGCGAUGCGCUAAUAGCUCCUCCUGCAGUUGAUGCUGGUUUUUGUAGAGAUUCCUUUCUGGGAUUUGGAGGUGGUGCAAGUUUCUUCUCUUUCGAUUUCACCUUGGGAGUCAACUCCUGAGGCUUAUCUUUAUUUGCGGGCGUGGAUUGCUUGUCUUCAUCCCCAGAAUCUGAAUCCGAUGGAAUGCAAGCUUCCAACGGGGUUUCCAUCGAUGAUUGACGACCACGGCUGAAACGCACAGAGUAAAACACUGACCACACCUCGACUAGUUACAGAGCACCAUUCGAUAACAAGCAUCCUUAUUUCAUAAGCUUCAACUGACCGCGCGGUUUUAAAAGGAAAUUCCACAUCCGUGCUAGUCGUUGUAGCUGAUACUGAUCAGCUGUAAGUAUGUAACACUACGGUUUCUGUUUUAUACUACGUGCAUUUUUUAUCGACAGAUAUAAUUUUUUUAAAAUUAUAUGCUGACGCACCUUAGAUUAAUUCUGAAAU
rnacentral:lncRNA from 1 species